rnacentral:rRNA from 1 species
AUUGAACGCUGGCGGCAGGCCUAACACAUGCAAGUCGAAUGGUAACAGGAAACAGCUUGCUGUUUCGCUGACGAGUGGCGGACGGGUGAGUAAUGUCUGGGAAACUGCCUGAUGGAGGGGGAUAACUACUGGAAACGGUAGCUAAUACCGCAUAACGUCGCAAGACCAAAGAGGGGGACCUUCGGGCCUCUUGCCAUCAGAUGUGCCCAGAUGGGAUUAGCUAGUAGGUGGGGUAACGGCUCACCUAGGCGACGAUCCCUAGCUGGUCUGAGAGGAUGACCAGCCACACUGGAACUGAGACACGGUCCAGACCCCUACGGGAGGCAGCAGUGGGGAAUAUUGCACAAAGGGCGCAAGCCUGAUGCAGCCAUGCCGCGUGUAUGAAGAAGGCCUUCGGGUUGUAAAGUACUUUCAGCGGGGAGGAAGGGAGUAAAGUUAAUACCUUUGCUCAUUGACGUUACCCGCAGAAGAAGCACCGGCUAACUCCGUG